AUAAGUUGGCAGAGAUAUGCAACCGAUUUAGAAUCAGUCAACAGGAGUUCCUACUUAUU
rnacentral:tRNA from 1 species